rnacentral:rRNA from 1 species
AUUGAACGCUGGCGGCAGGCCUAACACAUGCAAGUCGAACGAGUGGCGGACGGGUGAGUAAUGUCUGGGAAACUGCCCGAUGGAGGGGGAUAACUACUGGAAACGGUAGCUAAUACCGCAUACCAUCGGAUGUGCCCAGAUGGGAUUAGCUAGUAGGUGGGGUAAAGGCUCACCUAGGAGACGAUCCCUAGCUGGUCUGAGAGGAUGACCAGCCACGCUGAGACUGAGACGCGGUCCAGACUCCUACGGGAGGCAGCGGUGGGGAAUUUUGCACAAUGGGCGCAAGCCUAAUGCAGCCAUGCCGCGUGUGUGAAGAAGGCCUUCGGGUUGUAAAGCACUUUCAGCGAUGAGGCGUUACUCGCAGAAGAAGCACCGGCUAACUCCGUGCCAGCAGCCGCGGUAAUAC